AUUGGAUUAUUGUUCUGACUCUAGUAAUGAAUUUCAUUUGCACACUCAAUUAUGUUCUGGGUUUUUUUAGAGAUUGGGUCCCUCAAGAUUUUUCACUUCUCAGAAGAAGGGAAGAUUAUUCUUUAUUUUUGUGUCCUAGGCAAACAAAGCAAAGUUGUAGCUUGGUGUUCUGCUUCCAUUCAGCUCACACUCAGCGGAGCCCCUUCCUACAAGGACCCCGCUUCCUGCCACUUGAGAGCCAUGGGUUGGAGUGGAAGGUGACUCCAGUUGUGUCCUCAGUCAGUGUUAGAGGGCUCUGAAUAAAAGAUUAUUCUGCUUUCUGCA
rnacentral:lncRNA from 1 species